rnacentral:lncRNA from 1 species
UGGCUCUACCCAUGAAUAGGGUUUAAGAAACAUACUAUGAACAUUGUUUUUCAUUUUCGAAAAGGUUUAGCAGAAAUUCAUCCGCAAACCGUCAUAACUUACGGGCACGGAGGGUGAUCAGCCCCGUUGUACCCUGUAUUGAUCAAUACUACAUAACUUGAACGAAAUUCAUCGCUCACCCUUUGUCCGCCGAAGCGCAUAAAAAUUUUCCCAUUAUCGGGAUGUUCAUACAUGCCUGGUUCCAAACCCGAAGGUUUUUAAUCUUGCUCAACAAUAAUAUGUAAUUCAAC